UAGGGAAUAUUGCGCAAUGGGGGCAACCCUGACGCAGCAACUCCACGUGUGGGAUGAAGCAUUUCGGUGUGUAAACCACUGUCGAGAGGGAAUAACUCGGCCUUUCGGGGCCGUUGAAUGUACCUUUAAAGGAAGCACCGGCAAACUUCGUGCCAGCAGCCGCGGUAAUACGAGGGGUGCAAGCGUUGUUCGGAAUCACUGGGCGUAAAGGGAGCGUAGGCGGGCCGCCAAGCGUUCUGUGCAAUCCCGGGGCCCAACCCCGGACCCGCAGAGCGAACUGGCGUCCUUGAGUGGUUCAGAGGCCGGCGGAAUUCCUGGUGUAGCGGUGGAAUGCGUAGAUAUCAGGAAGAACACCGAUGGCGAAGGCAGCCGGCUGGGGACCCACUGACGCUGAGGCUCGAAAGCGUGGGAAGCAAACAGG
rnacentral:rRNA from 1 species